AAGUGUUACAGCUCUUUUAGAAUUUGUUUAGCAGGUUUUUCCAUUUUUACCAGAAAGCCCAA
ensembl:snRNA U7 U7 small nuclear RNA